rnacentral:lncRNA from 1 species
UUUUUUUUAAAUUUCUGAUUUUAUGUUUAAUUGCAUUAUUUUGUUUAAUUCAUAAUAAUUUCGUUUUUAAUCCAAAAAAUAUGGGACUUUCACCAAAAAUCUUUAAAUAUUUGUGUCUUUCAUUUUCUGAAUUAAAAUUAUUUUUAGAUUAAAUUUGAUAUUUUUCAUGAAUUAAAUGUUUUUGUACAUAUUUUUAAUUGUUUAAAAAUAUUUCUGACUUUUCAAAAAUGAUGAAAUUU